rnacentral:rRNA from 1 species
AGCGUAGGCGGAACUACAAGACAGGGGUCAAAUCUCCGGGCUCAACCUGGGACUUGCCUUUGUGACUGUGGUUCUUGAGUAUGGUAGAGGUUGGCGGAAUUUCCGGUGUAGCGGUGGAAUGCGUAGAGAUCGGAAAGAACACCAGAGGCGAAGGCGGCCAACUGGACCAAUACUGACGCUGAGGCUCGAAAGCGUGGGGAGCAAACAGGAUUAGAUACCCUGGUAGUCCACGCUGUAAACGAUGAACACUAGAUGUCGGGAGGGGUUCCUUCCGGUGUCGUCGCUAACGCAGUAAGUGUUCCGCCUGGGGAGUACGCUCGCAAGGGUGAA